AGCGAACGCUGGCGGCAGGCCUAACACAUGCAAGUCGAGCGCAGUAGCAAUACGGAGCGGCAGACGGGAGAGUAACACGUGGGAACGUACCCUUUGGUUCGGAACAACCCAGGGAAACUUGGGCUAAUACCGGAUAAGCCCUUACGGGGAAAGAUUCAUCGCCGAAGGAUCGGCCCGCGUCUGAUUAGCUAGUUGGUGGGGUAAUGGCCCACCAAGGCGACGAUCAGUAGCUGGUCUGAGAGGAUGAUCAGCCUCACUGGGACUGAGACACGGCCCAGACUCCUACGGGAGGCAGCAGUGGUGAAUAUUGGACAAUGGGAGCAAGCCUGAUCCAGCCAUGCCGCGUGGGUGAUGAAGGCCUUAGGGUUGUAAAGCCCUUUCGGCGGGGAAGAUAAUGACGGUACCCGCAGAAGAAGCCCCGGCUAACUUCGUGCCAGCCGCCGCGGUAA
rnacentral:rRNA from 1 species